GUGCGGCUCUUACUCAGCAAGGUGAAAGGCAAAAAAUAGUUAAAUGCAAACAAAGCGCCGUUUUAGAAUGGACUGGCCAAGCUAAAGAAAUGAAAUCAUGAAGGGGAAAAAAUUAAGAGUGCGAUUGUGCCGUCCUUUUAAAGCCCCUUUAGAAUCCCUUUCUCAAACCUUCAUUUUCUUCUUUACGGCAAUCUCGAGCUGCGAAGAGAAAGCGAGGUAAAAGAAGCCAGUCGCCGCCGCUGGGGUCAGUGCGGGGGAGACGCCGUGUGGCUUGCGCAGUCCGCCACUAUUGAAAGCCUGCCUGAACCCAGCCUCAUCUAAAGUGCCUCGGAAGCGCAUCGCCGUUCUCAAAAAACAGCAGGGACACAACUUUCAUUCGCGUCUUAAGGCCGGUCAAACGGCCGCGAGGUACAGGGAGUGAAAAUUGAACCUGCCCGCACUGUGACCUGACGCGGUUCGCCGACCGUCGAAGCAGCCACCCACCAUGUCGAACCCGGACCUUCUCGUAGUGGAGUGGACGCGUACGACAACUAGCACCCCUCCGCCCGUCACCCGCAGCGUCGAGACAGUGGCUGCAAGCUCGUCCUCGCAUACCGUGGUGACCACCUCUGCUCCGGUGGACGUCACGGUCACCACGGUACCCGUACCCGUACCCGUCCUCGUGGAGGUGCCUCCUCCACCGCCGGUCAUCGUGGAGACCGUGGUUCCCGUCGUGCCGGUGGUUCCUGUAGUGCCGGUGGUACCGGUGGUCCCCGUCGUGGCCACGCCAGUCGUGAGCGAGGUCUCUUCCGUGACGACAGUCACCGAGAGCGUUUCCGUGCCCACGCUGCUCAUGUUCUGAGGACGCGCGCUCUCGUUCGGCCAGCGUAGGUAGGAGAGACCUGUGAGCUUCAGAGCUGGCUUCAUGCUUCAGAGAGACUUUCGUCACGACAGCUCGCCAUUACUCGGAACCCAUUCGGCCAUGAAGUGAAGAUGUAAAAUCGGUCACCGUACUGCCAACUCUUGACCGCAAGUCCUUGAGGACAUUUGAAGAAAAAUAAAUUCUGAAAGUCUGUGAGAAAA